UACGUAGGGGGCAAGCGUUGUCCGGAUUUAUUGGGCGUAAAGAGCGUGUAGGCGGCCAGGUAGGUCUGCUGUGAAAACUCGAGGCUUAACCUCGAGCUGUCGGCGGAAACCAUCAGGCUAGAGUCCGGAAGAGGAGAAUGGAAUUCCCGGUGUAGCGGUGAAAUGCGCAGAUAUCGGGAAGAACACCCGUGGCGAAGGCGGUUCUCUGGGACGGUACUGACGCUGAGACGCGAAAGCGUGGGGAGCGAACAGG
rnacentral:rRNA from 1 species